rnacentral:lncRNA from 1 species
GUAUUAGAUGUAGAGGUAUUGGAGGUAACGUUAUUAGAGGUAUGAGAUGUAUGAGAGGAAUUAUGAGUAUGAGAGAUGUUAGAGGUAGAGGUAUGAGAGGUAGAGGUAUGAGAGGUAUUGGAGGCAGGUGUAUUAGAAGCAUCAGAGGUAGAUGUAUUAGAGGUAGCGGUAUUAGAGGUAUGAGAGGUAUGAUAGGUAGGGGUAUGAGAGGUAUUAAAGAUAUUGGAGGUAUGAGAGGUAUUGGAGGCAGGUGUAUUAGAGGCAUUAGAGGUAAAUGUAUUAGAGGUAGAGGUAUGAGAGGUAUUAGAGGUAGUGGAGAUAUGAGAGGUAUUAGAGGUAUGAGAGGUAUUAGAGGUAUGAGAGGUAUUAGAGGUAUGAGAGGUAUUGGAGGUAGAUGUAUUCAGGGUAGAGGUAUUAAAGAUAUUGGAUGAAUGAGAGGUAUUGGAAGUAGAGGUUUUAGAGGUUUGAGAGGUAUUAGAGGUAGAUGUAUUAGAGUAGAAGUAUUAAAGAUAUUGGAAGCAUGAGAGGUAGAGGUAUUGGAGGUAUUAGCGGUAUUGGAGAUAUGAAAGGUAAAGUUAUUGGAGGUAUUGGAGAUAUGAGAGGUAUGAGAGGUAUUUGAGGUAGGGGCAGAGAGGUAGAGGUAUGAGAGGUAUGAGAGGUUUGGGAGAAGGAGGUAUUAGACGUAUGACAGGUAUUGAGGCAAAUGUAUGAGGUAGAGGUAUUAAAGGUGGCGGUAUGAGAGGUAUUGGAGGUAUGAGAAGUAUUAGAGGUAUUGUAGGUAUUACAGGUAGAGGAGGUAGAGGUAUGAGAGAUAUUGGAGGCAGGUG